rnacentral:rRNA from 1 species
AGCAGUAGCCGCGGGAAUACAGAGGGUGCGAGCGUUAAUCGGAUUUACUGGGCGUAAAGCGUGCGUAGGCGGCUUCUUAAGUCGGAUGUGAAAUCCCUGAGCUUAACUUAGGAAUUGCAUUCGAUACUGGGAAGCUAGAGUAUGGGAGAGGAUGGUAGAAUUCCAGGUGUAGCGGUGAAAUGCGUAGAGAUCUGGAGGAAUACCGAUGGCGAAGGCAGCCAUCUGGCCUAAUACUGACGCUGAGGUACGAAAGCAUGGGGAGCAAACAGGAUUAGAUACCCCCGUUGUCCCUGUCUCUUAUAC